AUCGUUUCUUGUAAUUAAUAAGAAGUUUGGCCUGCACACUGAGUAGUUAAAGAGCUGCAGUAUUAUGACUGUACAAAGGUAGCACAAUCAUUAGUCUUUUAAUUGAAGACUGGAAUGAAAGGUCUGACAGGAAAACAUUAUUUAUACAUUAAUAUCUGAGUUUUCCUUUUUUGUAAAAAGGCAAAAAUAAAAAUAAACGACAAGAAGACCCUUUUAAGUUUAAGUCUAGUUGUAUUUUAAUGUGAAAUAUGUAGAGUUUUGCUGGGGCGGUGUAUGUUAAAAUAAAACAUUAAGAGAGAAAAAUUAACCCAAAAAACUAAAAAUUUGAGCCUAAAUAUAAAGCUAAAGGAAUAAACUACUAAAGGGAUAACAGCGUUAUAUAUUUUAAAAGUUCUAAUUGACAAAUAUGUUUGCGA
rnacentral:rRNA from 1 species